rnacentral:rRNA from 1 species
CCUACGGGAGGCAGCAGUGAGGAAUAUUGGUCAAUGGACGAGAGUCUGAACCAGCCAAGUAGCGUGAAGGAUGACUGCCCUAUGGGUUGUAAACUUCUUUUAUAUGGGAAUAAAACGUUCCACGUGUGGGAUUUUGUAUGUACCAUAUGAAUAAGGAUCGGCUAACUCCGUGCCAGCAGCCGCGGUAAUACGGAGGAUCCGAGCGUUAUCCGGAUUUAUUGGGUUUAAAGGGAGCGUAGGUGGGUUGUUAAGUCAGUUGUGAAAGUUUGCGGCUCAAACGUCAAAGUGCAGUUGAAACUGGCAGUCUUGAGUACAGUAGAGGUAGGCGGAAUUCGUGGUGUAGCGGUGAAAUGCUUAGAUAUCACGAAGAACUCUGAUUGCGAAGGCAGUUCACUGGACUGCAACUGACACUGAGGCUCGAAAGUGUGGGUAUCAAACAGGAUUAGAUACCCGGGUAGUC